CUAGUCUGUACUCCCGCCCGGCCGCCCCCCACUCCAGAAAUCGUUCCCGUCUCCGGCGACCCAGCGGCGCCCCUCGCCCGCCCGCCGUUCUCCUCGGCCGUCGCCAGUGGGAAGCUCACUCCCAGUCCCACCGCGACCCUCGCCCAGUCGCUCCGCCUCCGAGCUCCGACGACAGGUGAGCGGCGACCCAGCGGCGCCCCUCGCCGCCCGUCAUCGCCCAGACCA
rnacentral:lncRNA from 1 species